rnacentral:rRNA from 1 species
GACGAACGCUGGCGGCGUGCUUAACACAUGCAAGUCGAACGGAAAGGCCCUGCUUUUGUGGGGUGCUCGAGUGGCGAACGGGUGAGUAACACGUGAGUAACCUGCCCUUGACUUUGGGAUAACUUCAGGAAACUGGGGCUAAUACUGGAUAGGAGCUCCCGCUGCAUGGUGGGGGUUGGAAAGUUUCGGCGGUUGGGGAUGGACUCGCGGCUUAUCAGCUUGUUGGUGGGGUAGUGGCUUACCAAGGCUUUGACGGGUAGCCGGCCUGAGAGGGUGACCGGCCACAUUGGGACUGAGAUACGGCCCAGACUCCUACGGGAGGCAGCAGUGGGGAAUAUUGCACAAUGGGCGGAAGCCUGAUGCAGCAACGCUGCGUGCGGGAUGACGGCCUUCGGGUUGUAAACCGCUUUCGCCUGUGACGAAGCGUGAGUGACGGUAAUGGGUAAAGAAGCACCGGCUAACUACGUG